rnacentral:pre_miRNA from 1 species
GGAAGAAAACGAGAAGGGACGGACAAACACAAACUUCCAACUCCAGUUGGAAGUUUGUGUUUGUCCGUCCCUUCUCGUUUUCUUCC